CUGUCUCUGUCUCCUGAUUCUUAGGGGUAACGUAUGUGGGACCACAUCCAUAUGCAUAAGAGGAAUGAUCUGGUGGUGUAAAUGCCUAGGAUUUAAAGCCUAGGAGACGUCCAGUGUUUGAGCUCUGCUGCUCUGUUCUUCAGCUGUUCUUCAGACUAUUAUUUGGGAAGAUUUUUGUCAAUAGCAGAGUCAGUGAGUCAACUGAAAUGCAUCUCCUUUUCCCACCAAGUGCCUAACCUAAUAUCAAACAGAACACUUCCUUCCUCCAUCUGGAAGCUGCUUUCCCGUCCCCUCGACUCCACCCCGUGUUGGAUGUUGUUUUCAAAACACAUUGGAGCAUGUGCCUCUGAAACUGGUUGCAACUCCAAGCACAGCGCGGGGCUCCACCAUGAAGAAGAGCAUGAAGCUUUUUCCUGGCAACACGACAACAUGGAUGAAAUGAAAACAAGAGCACAAUGACAGUGAUGACCUUGGAACCAAAUGUCAUGUAUUGUCGAACAGGCAUCUUUUGGAUUCCCAGAAGUGAUUUUUGAUUAGACCGUCUCCUGUCAGCACCACAGCCAUGACAAUCCUUAUCGGGACCCUUCUGUUAUUGUGCUGUCUUCAAACAAAGAUAGGAAAUGUUCAAGACCCCAGGGAGCUCUGCUGCCCUGUACUGUGGUGAAGCAGAAAGUCCUGUUCUGUCUGAAGAGUGAAAGGCAGAAGUCAGGAGAAAGCAGGCAGGGAAAGGUCUGGCUUCUCUGGGAAGUGAUCUCUGCUCUUUGACUAAUCUAUCACAAAGGCAUGUUUCAAGAUGGCGGCAGGGGUGUGAGGCAAACCAGCCUGUAAGGUAUGUGGGGCACACUUGCAGAGGAUGGAGCCUUUGGAAGCUUGGCAGGGAACAUUUUAUUGAAGAUAAUCCAUUUCUGAUCAGGGCAUGAGCUUUGCAGUUUAUGGAAAUUCCCCCAAUCGUGUUAAAAUGACAUUGAGCCUCAAAUAUAUUUGAUGUUUGUUUUAGUGAGAUGGCUUAGUGGGUAAAAACACUUAACAUGCAAGGCUGGGACCUGAGUUUGAUUCCCAGAAACCAUGUAAAGGUUGGAGAGAACCAAUCUGGAAGAGCGAUUUAUGUUUUGAACCUCUAAGACCCAUUUCCUUUAGAGAACUUGCCCUCCACAGUUUCCACAGCCUUCGAAAUCAGCACCGUCAAUUGGGGACUAAGUAUUCAAACACAAGGGCCUGUGGGGGACAUUUCCCAUUCAAUCCAGACCUCUAGGGUGUGCCUUCAUUGUGCAGAAGCUUGUUUAGGAUCCCCACCUUCAAGGACGGCAGACAUGCAAAUCUGUGCUAACUGCAUCUAGAAAGACCCAUGCAUUUUAGAAACAAAACAAAACACAGCAAACCAGAAGCUCCAGAAACAGCUGUUGAUUUGCCGGUUGCCUCUAGCACGUCCUGUCUCCAGAAGACGUCACCCAGGCAGCUGUGAAGAGGUACUCCAGAGGACCAACCGCUUCCGUGCAGAGUAAUAAAUAAUAAUGUGACUAUUUUGGUAGACAGUACUGUUGUGGCUUUACUUAGAAGUCAUGACAGUGGGCACUUGGAAUCCAUCUGUGUGAACUGUCAGGAGAGAGAGUAUCCUUGAGUCUGGGACGGGUAUCCUUCUCUACCACCCGGAAGCUCUGCGCAUGCUCCUGCUCAGGGCUCCUGAGCUAGACUAGACGGCUCAGCAUGGCUUACUCCUGCGCCACAGUGUCUUUCAGCCCGCUGUCUGUGGAAUGUCUAAGAAGGUUGGUUUGUGAUAUGAUGAGUGGGCACUGUGGUUUCUUUCAUUCUUGUCUGCCCAGGGGAUGAAUGUAAACUCCUGCUCCUUUUCCUGGGAGAUUUUGUUUGGUUUUUUAAUGCCAAAGGAGGAAACAUAAUGGAGGCAGGAGCCAGGCCUGUACAUCUUGAGGUCUCUGAUCUCACUCUCAUUGGGGGUGGUCCGACUGGGCUGCCAACCACGUGACAACCAAGCCAAAAGCUUCUUGCUCCCUGGCAGCCCCCCAGAUGAGGUUCCAGGAAUCCUUCGUCUCAUGCAUCUUGCCAAUUCUGAAACUUCUUGCUGACCAAGGCAUCUAUGUAUUUUUAGUAUGCCUGAGGUUCAGACUCCAUCUAAUGCAGAAUCAAUCACAGAGCAAUAAAGUCCAAUAGAGUGUGCACAAAACAACAGCGGCUGCUUCUCUGGUGCUCGGCCCAUCUGAGUAUCACCCCUCACUCCUAAUCCCACCAGAUAAGCACUGAAGCACUGGCCUGGGCUUUGUGUUGAUCCUACCUUACUCUCUUGUGGUUUCUACCCCUGCUCCACACUUUCUCUGCUUUGCCUGUGUCAGAAAGCCAUGUGGAACGACACUGGAUGAGUUAAUUCUUUCACUCAACAAUGCUUUUAAAAUUCAUUGGCACGGUUGUGUAUAACACAGUACGUUUAUUUUCAAAGUUGUGUGUAAUAGUCCAUUGUACAGAGAACUGGUUAACCUCUUUUGGUUCUUGAUUGACACUUGGUUUCUUUUAAGUGUGGUAUUGAUUAAAAAAAAAGUUUGUGAUUGUUUUCCUGGGGCACAAACAUGGAACUAGAUUGGGAAGGCUCUUUGGUUUUCAGACACCCUUCACUCAGAACUCGUGAGCAAGGGAGAAAUUCCUCAGGACUGGAGCUGCCAUGUAAGACCAUUGACCCACAGACAUGGUGUUCCUCCGGAUAUAUUAAAUCCUAUAACAGAAAAUUAGAUAUGAUCUGUACUUAAGGGGACUGGCAAAGAAGGCUAUUUACAAUGGCUCACAUCUGAAGUCCCAACACUUAGGAGGUUGAGGCAGGAGGAUUGCUUGAGUUGAAGAACACACUGGGAUACAAAAUGAGACUCUGUUUCUGAAAACCACACCAAAAUAGAUUUAAAAAAAAAAAAAGUAGAGUCCCCAUGAUUCAGUACAAUAAACCACAACAACGAUCAAGGCUUUCGGUGGCUGUCAGCUCUGGUAGGUCUAGGGAGCACGGUUUGGCCUUGAGUAUUCUAUGAGACUCUGUGUAGUUCUCAGGUCAGGGUGAUUUCCAGUGACUUCAAUGUUUCCCUCAUAUCUGCUUUUCUAAGACAUAGUCUAACAAAGUACUUUACCUUCUCUGUCCACCCUGGAGUUUUGUUGGAUGGGUUCUCCACAAAGACAAUAUCAAGAACACAGGUUUGACAGUAGUUGUAAUAAUUUUCUCAAUUAGUGAUCAAGGGUGGGAGGGCCC